UCAUUGAAUUUUUUUUUUUGAAGGGUAUUUUGUGUCUCUCUCUCCUUCUGUUCUGCUCUGUUCUUAGUUAUUUGUUAUCUUCUGCUAGGGUUUGAAUUUAUUUGUUCUUGCUUCUCCAGUUCUUUUAAUUGUGAUUUUAGCAUGUCUAUUUUAGAUCUUUCCUGCUUUCUCUCGUGGGCAUUUAGUGCUAUGAAUUUUCCUCUAGACACUGCUUUGUCUGUGUCCCAGAGAUUCUGGUAUGUUGUGUCUUUGUUCUCAUUGGUUUCAAAGAACUUUUUUAUUUCUGCUUUCAUUUUGUUAUUUACCCUGUAGUCAUUCAGGAGCAGGUUGUUCAGCUUCCAUGUUGUGUGGUUUUGGGUGAGUUUCUUAAUCCUGAGUUCUAAUUUGAUUGCACUGAGAGACUGUUAUGAUUUCCAUUCUUUUACAUUUGCUGAGGAGUGUUUUACUUCCAAUUAUGUGGUCAGUUUUAGAAUAAGUGCGAUGUGGUGUUUGCUUUAUUUCAUUAAGUUGAUCUUCAGUCUCUGAUAUCCUUUCUUCCACUUUAUCGAUUCAGCUAUUGAUACUUGUGCAUGUAUCACGAAGUUCUCAUGCUGUGUUUUUCAUCUCCAUCAGGUCAUUUAUGUUCUUCUCUAAACUGGUUCUUCCUGUUAGCAAUUCGUCUAACCUUUUUUCAAGGUUCUUAGCUUCCUGGCAUUGGGUUAGAGCAUGCUCCUUUAGCUCGGAGGAGUUUGUUAUUACCCACCCACCUCUGAAGACUACUUCUGUCAAUUUGUCUAACUCAUUCUCUGUUCAGUUUUGUUUGUUUGCUGGUGAGGAGUUGUGAUCCUUUGUAGGAGAAAAGGCAUUCUGGUUUUUGGAAUUUUCAGCCUUUUUACGCUGGCUUCUC
rnacentral:lncRNA from 1 species